CCUCUCUACCCAAGCUCAAGUUGUGGUGUUGAACAAGCAUGUUCUCGACAGAGAGGAAUUUGGUCGUCAGCAGAGCGAUACAAUGUGAGUUACCUUCAGAUGUUGUCUUCCCUGAGACAGAGAUUCGAAGAGAUUAUUCUCAUGGUUCCCCAUCAGAUUAAGGUUCUUCAAGCUAUUCGGACAUGGCAGCCACCGUUGGUUUGGUGCUGCAACAUAUGUGACUUUUGAUGGUGAACCCAUCCUCAUUGAUGAAGUUGGAAUUAACUUCAAUCUUUCGCUUAUCAGAUCCAGAAGGCACAACUUUAGGGACUACAUGGCUCGACACCUUACCAGCCUGGGCAUCCCAAAGUAUGCGCAGCCAGAACCAGACAUUCUUCGGACAAUAGUUGAAGCUGUUGAUGUGACCCUCCCUGGUGUGCCUAUUUCUGUCAUUGUGGUGGAUGUGAGUUUGUGCUUGUUUGGUGAAGCUGCAACGCCUUUAGCUGGGAUCAUGGCUGACUUGCUGGGCAGUGUAUCGACUAAUUGACUCGAAUUCAUGGGAAUCUGUGGUGAGAUAUGUACAUGAGCCCACGAGUAUUCCUGCAACCAAAGAAUCUAUUGAGAGUUUGGAGUAUUUCAGACUUGAGAAUUUGGAAGAGGAUGUUAUUAGACAGGCUUCGCCGUGCGUCAUUUGUCUGGAGCAGCUUGAUCACUCUGACGCUGAUCAGCAGAUGGUGAUAGCUGAUGAUCAAUUGAGGGUGAUAACUCGCUUUCCGUGCUCACACCUUUAUCACAGAGCAUGCAUUGUUGGAUGGCUGGAGAAGAAUCACCUCUGUCCCUUGUGCCAAUAUCCUCUGGAACCUGAAGCAAGGAUAAGGCCAACAAAAUCCUCAUGGGCACAGCAUUGGCAUAUGCUGCUUAUGGUGUCUGCUGGCAGUGUAAUAACCGCGACACUUGUUUGUAGAUAUUGGAAGCGAAGUCAGUAGAAGAAGAUGAAAAGCCAUGGAGAGCAGCAACUGGUUAGCAAGAGAGAUAGAUAGAGAGUUAGUAGAAGAAGAUGGCACAGAGGUUUUGCAAUGAGAAGAAGAGUAGUUUGUUACAAUCCACAGCUUCAAAUAUUGGGUUAUUCUCACUUUGUACCUAGUAAUUUCUUGAGGUUUCAACUUUAGACAUUUAUGCAAAGAUGGUAAAUCCCACACA